GUUUCAGAGAAGGCUGGUAGAGCUCUCUAUGAGUGUGAGCUGUGGGAGAUAACCAAGAACUGACAACCACCUACAGAAGAGGUGGCGAUAAUGGCUCUCCAAGAGGAGGUUGUGAGUCUGAAGGCUUUUAUUCAACAAGGAGGCACUUAGAGGGAAUGCCUUGACCCUGAGAAGACUAAGACGAUAAUUGAGGCCACCCUGAAGCAGUUCCCAGGCCAGACACUCACUCCAGAUUGCUGGGCCAGGCAAUAAAUGCCAAAGUGACAGAACUGAGGUUCCAUAACAAAAACAAAGAUUUUCAAUAAAAUAGAA